rnacentral:rRNA from 1 species
AUUGAACGCUGGCGGCAGGCCUAACACAUGCAAGUCGAGCGAGCGGCGGACGGGUGAGUAAUGCCUGGGAAUUGCCCAGGCGAGGGGGAUAACCGUUGGAAACGACUGCUAAUACCGCAUACGAUUGGAUCGCGCAGGGGGGAUUAGCUAGUUGGUGAGGUAAUUGCUAACCAAGGCGACGAUCCCUAGCUGGUCUGAGAGGAUGAUCGGCCACACCGGAAGUGGGACAUGGGCCACACUCCGUCGGGAGGCAGCAGUGGGGACUAUUGCACAAUGGGGGAAAGCUCGACAGAGCCGCGGGGGGUGUGGGUAGAAGGCAUUCGGGUUGUCAAGCCCUUUCAGCGAUGAGGCGUUACUCUCUGAAGCAUCACCGGCUAACUCCGUGCCAGCCGCCGCGGUAAUAC